AGCAGCCGCGGUAAUUCCAGCUCCAAUAGCGUAUAUUAAAGUUGUUGCAGUUAAAAAGCUCGUAGUUGAAUUUCGGGGUCAGUAGGUUGGUCGUGCCACUGGUAUGUACUGGUCUCACUGAUUCCUCCUUCCUGAUGAACCGUAAUGCCAUUAAUUUGGUGUUGCGGGGAAACUGGACUGUUACUUUGAAAAAAUUAGAGUGUUUAAAGCAAGCUAACGCUUGAAUACAUUAGCAUGGAAUAAUGAAAUAGGACGAUCGAUCCUAUUUUGUUGGUUUCUAGGAUUGACGUAAUGAUUAAUAGGGAUAGUUGGGGGCAUUAGUAUUCAAUUGUCAGAGGUGAAAUUCUUGGAUUUAUUGAAGACUAACUACUGCGAAAGCAUUUGCCAAGGAUGUUUUCAUUAAUCAAGAACGAAAGUUAGGGGAUCGAAGACGAUCAGAUACCGUCGUAGUCUUAACCAUAAACUAUGCCGACUAGGGAUCGGAUGAUGUUAAUUUUUAAUGACUCAUUCGGCGCCUUAC
rnacentral:rRNA from 1 species